rnacentral:rRNA from 1 species
AUUGAACGCUGGCGGCAGGCCUAACACAUGCAAGUCGAACGAGUGGCGGACGGGUGAGUAAUGUCUGGGAAACUGCCUGAUGGAGGGGGAUAACUACUGGAAACGGUAGCUAAUACCGCAUACCAUCGGAUGUGCCCAGAUGGGAGUAGCUAGUAGGUGGGGUAAAGGCUCACCUAGGCGACGAUCCCUAGCUGGUCUGCUAGGAUGACCAGCCACACUGUACCUGAGAAACGGCCCAGACUCCUACGGGAGGCAGCAGUGGGGAAGAUUGCACAAGGGGCGCAAGCCUGAUGCAGCCAUGCCGCGUGUAUGAAGAAGUCUUUCGGGUUGUAAAGUACUUUCAGCGGGGAGGCGUUACCCGCAGAAGAAGCACCGGCUAACUCCGUUCCAGCAGCCGCGGUAAUUC